UUUCCGUAGGUGAACCUGCGGAAGGAUCAUUAACACGUAUCCACGUAUCAAACAACCCGUUGAACUGUUCCCGCGUGUCGAGUGAGACAAGGGGAGACGAGCGGCUAGGUGGCGAAAGGUUUGUCUUUGGACACAAUCUUCGUCCUCGUCUUUACCCGCGGCCUCCGAAAGGAGAGCCAACGUUUCUUCGGCAGGCGUUCGCCACGGAAAUAUCAUUUCCAAACCCCAUGAAUUUGUGUUCUAACCUUCUUUUCUUUUCUUUCAGGUUCUCUUCGAGAACAGAAAGAAAACGAAACUUUUUACGAAACUCAAAACAACUCUUAGCAACGGAUAUCUUGGUUUCC
rnacentral:misc_RNA from 1 species